GCGAUACAGGGUGACAGCCCCGUACACAAAAGCGCAUGUGCUGUGAGCUCGAUGAGUAGGGCGGGACACGUGGUAUCCUGUCUGAAUAUGGGGGGACCAUCCUCCAAGGCUAAAUACUCCUGACUGACCGAUAGUGAACCAGUACCGUGAGGGAAAGGCGAAAAGAACCCCGGCGAGGGGAGUGAAAAAGAACCUGAAACCGUGUACGUACAAGCAGUGGGAGCACCCUUUGGGGUGUGACUGCGUACCUUUUGUAUAAUGGGUCAGCGACUUAUAUUCUGUAGCAAGGUUAACCGAAUAGGGGAGCCGGAGGGAAACCGAGUCUUAACCGGGCGUUAAGUUGCAGGGUAUAGACCCGAAACCCGGUGAUCUAGCCAUGGGCAGGUUGAAGGUUGGGUAACACUAACUGGAGGACCGAACCGACUAAUGUUGAAAAAUUAGCGGAUGACCUGUGGCUGGGGGUGAAAGGCCAAUCAAACCGGGAGAUAGCUGGUUCUCCCCGAAAGCUAUUUAGGUAGCGCCUCGUGAAUUCAUCUCCGGGGGUAGAGCACUGUUUCGGCUAGGGGGCCAUCCCGGCUUACCAACCCGAUGCAAACUGCGAAUACCGGAGAAUGUUAUCACGGGAGACACACGGCGGGUGCUAACGUCCGUCGUGAAGAGGGAAACAACCCAGACCGCCAGCUAAGGUCCCAAAGUCAUGGUUAAGUGGGAAACGAUGUGGGAAGGCCCAGACAGCCAGGAUGUUGGCUUAGAAGCAGCCAUCAUUUAAAGAAAGCGUAAUAGCUCACUGGUCGAGUCGGCCUGCGCGGAAGAUGUAACGGGGCUAAACCAUG
rnacentral:rRNA from 1 species